rnacentral:rRNA from 1 species
GAUGAACGCUGGCGGCGUGCUUAACACAUGCAAGUCGAACGAUGAAGCUGGAGCUUGCUCUGGUGGAUUAGUGGCGAACGGGUGAGUAACACGUGAGCAACCUGCCCCUGACUCCGGGAUAACAGCCGGAAACGGCUGCUAAUACCGGAUAUGCACCAUGAACGCAUGUUCUGUGGUGGGAAAGAUUUUUCGGUUGGGGAUGGGCUCGCGGCCUAUCAGCUUGUUGGUGAGGUAAUGGCUCACCAAGGCGUCGACGGGUAGCCGGCCUGAGAGGGUGACCGGCCACACUGGGACUGAGACACGGCCCAGACUCCUACGGGAGGCAGCAGUGGGGAAUAUUGCACAAUGGGCGAAAGCCUGAUGCAGCAACGCCGCGUGAGGGAUGACGGCCUUCGGGUUGUAAACCUCUUUUAGCAGGGAAGAAGCGAGAGUGACGGUACCUGCAGAAAAAGCGCCGGCUAACUACGUG